rnacentral:tRNA from 1 species
AUCAGGAUGGCCGAGCGGUCUCAGACUCAAGGACUGACUCUUUCCUCGUCAAGGGGAUUUCUGUUCUCCAAAUGGAGGCGUGGGUUCAAAUCCCACUUGUGACA